UUGGGUUAAGUCCCGUAACGAGCGCAACCCUUGUCCUUAGUUACCAGCACGUCAUGGUGGGCACUCUAAGGAGACUGCCGGUGACAAACCGGAGGAAGGUGGGGAUGACGUCAAGUCAUCAUGGCCCUUACGGCCUGGGCUACACACGUGCUACAAUGGUCGGUACAGAGGGUUGCCAAGCCGCGAGGUGGAGCUAAUCCCAGAAAACCGAUCGUAGUCCGGAUCGCAGUCUGCAACUCGACUGCGUGAAGUCGGAAUCGCUAGUAAUCGCGAAUCAGAAUGUCGCGGUGAAUACGUUCCCGG
rnacentral:rRNA from 1 species